rnacentral:rRNA from 1 species
AGCCUGAUGGAGCACGCCGCGUGAGUGAAGAAGGAUUUCGGUUCGUAAAACUCUGUUGUAAGGGAAGAACAAGUACAGUAGUAACUGGCUGUACCUUGACGGUACCUUAUUAGAAAGCCACGGCUAACUACGUGCCAGCAGCCGCGGUAAUACGUAGGUGGCAAGCGUUGUCCGGAAUUAUUGGGCGUAAAGCGCGCGCAGGUGGUUUCUUAAGUCUGAUGUGAAAGCCCACGGCUCAACCGUGGAGGGUCAUUGGAAACUGGGAGACUUGAGUGCAGAAGAGGAUAGUGGAAUUCCAAGUGUAGCGGUGAAAUGCGUAGAGAUUUGGAGGAACACCAGUGGCGAAGGCGACUAUCUGGUCUGUAACUGACACUGAGGCGCGAAAGCGUGGGGAGCAAACAGGAUUAGAUACCCUGGUAGUCCACGCCGUAAACGAUGAGUGCUAAGUGUUAGGGGGUUUCCGCCCCUUAGUGCUGCAGCUAACGCAUUAAGCACUCCGCCUGGGGAGUACGGUCGCAAGACUGAAACUCACAGGAAUUGACGGGGGCCCGCACAAGCGGUGGAGCAUGUGGUUUAAUUCGA